rnacentral:rRNA from 1 species
GUAGGGGCCUAGCGUUGUCCGGAUUUAUUGGGCGUAAAGAGCUCGUAGGCGGUUUGGUGAGUCGGGUGUGAAAUCUCCACGCUCAACGUGGAGGGGCCACCCGAUACUGCCAUGACUAGAGUCCGGUAGGGGAGUGUGGAAUUCCCGGUGUAGCGGUGAAAUGCGCAGAUAUCGGGAGGAACACCAGUAGCGAAGGCGACACUCUGGGCCGGUACUGACGCUGAGGAGCGAAAGCGUGGGGAGCAAACAGGAUUAGAUACCCUGGUAGUCCACGCUGUAAACGUUGGGCACUAGGUGUGGGACUCUAUCGACGGGUUCCGUGCCGUAGCUAACGCAUUAAGUGCCCCGCCUGGGGAGUACGGCCGCAAGGCUA